rnacentral:rRNA from 1 species
GAUUAUGGCUCAGGAUGAACGCUAGCUACAGGCUUAACACAUGCAAGUCGAGGGGCAGCAUGAGAUUAGCUUGCUAAUCUUGAUGGCGACCGGCGCACGGGUGCGUAACACGUAUCCAAUCUACCCAUGGCUCGGGGAUAGCCUUUCGAAAGAAAGAUUAAUACCCGAUGGUCUGCGAUUGAGACAUCUCGAUUGCAGUAAAGACUUGUCGGCGAUGGAUGGGGAUGCGUCCGAUUAGCUAGUUGGCGGGGUAACGGCCCACCAAGGCGACGAUCGGUAGGGUUCUGAGAGGAAGGUCCCCCACACUGGAACUGAGACACGGUCCAGACUCCUACGGGAGGCAGCAGUGAGGAAUAUUGGUCAAUGGUCGGGAGACUGAACCAGCCAAGUAGCCGUGAGGGACGACGGCCCUACGGGUUGUAAACCUCUUUUGUAUGGGAAUAAAGUGAGGCACGUGUGCCUUUUUGUAUGUACCUUACGAAUAAGCAUCGGCUAAUUCCGUGCCAGCAGCCGC